rnacentral:rRNA from 1 species
GGGCCCGCACAAGCGGUGGAGCAUGUGGUUUAAUUCGAUGAUACGCGAGGAACCUUACCAGGGCUUAAAUGGAAAAUGACAGGGGCAGAGACGCCCCCUUCUUCGGACAUUUUUCAAGGUGCUGCAUGGUUGUCGUCAGCUCGUGCCGUGAGGUGUCAGGUUAAGUCCUAUAACGAGCGCAACCCCUACCGUUAGUUGCCAGCGAGUAAUGUCGGGGACUCUAACGGAACUGCCGGUGCAAACCGUGAGGAAGGUGGGGACGACGUCAAAUCAUCACGGCCCUUACGUCCUGGGCCACACACGUGCUACAAUGGUAGGUACAGAGGGAAGCCACCCCGCGAGGGGGAGCGGAUCUAUAAAACCUAUCUCAGUUCGGAUCGGAGUCUGCAACUCGACUCCGUGAAGCUGGAAUC